ACAAGUGACCCCGGUCUAACCACCGGGAUGUUCAUAACCCUUUGUUGUCCGACUCUGUUGCCUCCGGGGCGACCCUGCCUUCGGGCGGGGGCUCCGGGUGGACACUUCAAACUCUUGCGUAACUUUGCAGUCUGAGUAAACUUAAUUAAUAAAUUAAAACUUUUAACAACGGAUCUCUUGGUUCUGGCAUCGAUGAAGAACGCAGCGAAAUGCGAUAAGUAAUGUGAAUUGCAGAAUUCAGUGAAUCAUCGAAUCUUUGAACGCACAUUGCGCCCCCUGGUAUUCCGGGGGGCAUGCCUGUUCGAGCGUCAUUUCACCACUCAAGCCUCGCUUGGUAUUGGGCAUCGCGGUCCGCCGCGUGCCUCAAAUCGACCGGCUGGGUCUUCUGUCCCCUAAGCGUUGUGGAAACUAUUCGCUAAAGGGUGUUCGGGAGGCUACGCCGUAAAACAACCCCAUUUCUAAGGUUGACCUCGGAUCAGGUAGGGAUACCCGCUGAACUUAAGC
rnacentral:rRNA from 1 species